rnacentral:lncRNA from 13 species
UCUGGUUAAAAAGAUAUUGGUGAAAUUAAACAGAAGUUCUGGUUAUUGUAACUAAAUAAUCUAAUAUUCACAACCACACUAUUUGGAUGGAGCGUCCUUUCUCCCGCGUUUUGAACUUAGCUUCAGUGUUCGAGACCUGAUGUUUCACGAUUGUGUGCCCAUAUGUGCGACUAUCUUUUCGUUUCUUCUAAAUGUGCAAAAGAUUGAAAGUUUAUACCGUUUACACAAAUAAAGUUCAUAAAAAAUGAAAAAGAAAACGUCAAACUUACUCCGUGAAUGGGGAUUUGAAGAAUAUAUUGAAAUCUUCAAAGAUUCGUAUAGUUUAAUAUAUUUACGAGAAUUCAGUUUCUGAUAUAUACUAUUCAUUUGAGAACAAAAUUGAUUGCUGUGACAAUUAUAGAAAGAGAUGGAAGCCUUCUACACAAGAAAUAAUAGAUGCAUUCAUUCUUCAUGUAAAAAUAAUAAAUGAUUUGGUGCCCAAUAUCCAAAGAAUUAGAAACAGAGCUCAACAAUUAAAGACUAAAAUUCAACCACUUGUUAUCACUGUGAAACCUACUCUGUCACUGUGUCAAGAUUUUUAUGUAAUAAAAUCGCAAAUAACGAAUAAUAGCCAAUAAUACGAAUAACGAAUAAUGCAAAUAAUAA